UUUUGGGACAAAGGGCAGUAUGGAGAUUUCUCUAAGGAAAGUCCUCGGGCAAUGCCGAAAGGCGCCUGUUACUGCCUAGAACGCAGAUCAAUGCUGCCAGCCGUCGAUCCGGCUAACAGAAUGAGGCUUACUCUUGUCCCACA
rnacentral:RNase_MRP_RNA from 1 species